CUGCGAUGAUGAUGUUUCUUAGGACACCUUUCGAUUAAUCGUGAAAACAAUUAUUCUCUGAGCAGC
ensembl:snoRNA SNORD58 Small nucleolar RNA SNORD58